rnacentral:rRNA from 1 species
CCCAGCUUGCUGGGUGGAUUAGUGGCGAACGGGUGAGUAACACGUGAGUAACCUGCCCUUGACUCUGGGAUAAGCCCGGGAAACUGGGUCUAAUACCGGAUAGGAACGUCCACCGCAUGGUGGUUGUUGGAAAGAUUUAUCGGUCAUGGAUGGACUCGCGGCCUAUCAGCUUGUUGGUGAGGUAAUGGCUCACCAAGGCGACGACGGGUAGCCGGCCUGAGAGGGUGACCGGCCACACUGGGACUGAGACACGGCCCAGACUCCUACGGGAGGCAGCAGUGGGGAAUAUUGCACAAUGGGCGAAAGCCUGAUGCAGCGACGCCGCGUGAGGGAUGACGGCCUUCGGGUUGUAAACCUCUUUCAGUAGGGAAGAAGCGAAAGUGACGGUACCUGCAGAAGAAGCACCGGCUAACUACGUGCCAGCAGCCGCGGUAAUACGUAGGGUGCGAGCGUUAUCCGGAAUUAUUGGGCGUAAAGAGCUCGUAGGCGGUUUGUCGCGUCUGUCGUGAAAGUCCGGGGCUUAACCCCG